rnacentral:miRNA from 14 species
CUGACUCCCAGGGUGGUGGUGGCCACAGAAACAAGGCCUGUAACUCUGUCCGUCCACCUCUUCCCAGGCGCGG